rnacentral:lncRNA from 1 species
AUGUUUCUAUAAAAUGGAUCUUUUUGGAAUACGUGUAAAACAGGUCUUAAAUAGCCUCACACUUAAGUGGCUCAGUCCAGUUUUGUAAACUGUGUGUCGCUACUUGAGUAACAGUGCUGUACAAAAUCUAAACUGUUGCUUGAACCUAAUGCCAAGAUACUCAACCAUCAUUGGAAUCAAUAAGCUACGUGUGGGAGAACAUUUCUGUAUCCACGGAUGUCGGGCUAAUAGAUUAUUUAUUUCACUAAAUUUAUUAACUUCAGGGACAAGAGCUUAAGUGAGCAGAAAAGGCUGAUCGGUAUAUUUGACCACAAGCCUAAAUCCCAGCACAUUACAGGAUGAAGUCACUACAUGGUGCGACUUCACAAUCGAGUUUGGUGACAUCACAAUGGAGUUUGCCCUAUGAAGUCCAGACCAUCUUCAGGCCAAGGCUUAUUUCUCCCAAGGGUUUGUAGCGGCUGGAAGGGAUUUUGUUGUUGUUCUUGUGUUUUAAACUAGAGACUGGUUUUUUUUUUUUUUUUUUCCAGGCUAAAUGCUUACUUAGGAAAAUUGGUUUGAAUCUGGCAAAGGCAUUCAACAAUACUGUCUUUCCUUUUCAGGUCACAGUAUUGGAAGAAGAGUGUGGUUUACAGCUAAUACUGCCCUGAAGGUGUGGACCCAUACUUCAAACACAAAGAUCAGACACUGAUUUCACACAUCUGAUAGAUAAAUGAAGAAUUCUGAGACUGAUCCGAAGCUCAAGCCGAGGUGUAAAAAAAGGAAGAAAAAGUCAAAGAACUUGGAACAAAACUCUAGCAAUGCGGAACCCAGAAGCAUGCCCACUCAAUUUGCACGUAGAUUUCAAGAUCUCUUCCAAAACCUCCACAGGCAGAUAGAGGGCCAUCCCCACCACCAGCUCUACCAGCGCCACCUCUUCCCAGAGGAGUUUUUCCUCCUCCUUCAACUCCUUUACCUGGACUAA